CCCUUAGAUGUUCUGGGCCGCACGCGCGCUACACUGUUCGACGCAGCGAGUCUUAACCUUGACCGAAAGGUUUGGGUAAUCUUCAGCAAAGUCGAACGUGAUGGGGAUCGAUCAUUGCAAUUAUUGAUCGUGAACGAGGAAUUCCUAGUAAGUGCAAGUCAUCAGCUUGCGCUGAUUACGUCCCUGCCCUUUGUACACACCGCCCGUCGCUACUACCGAUUGAAUGGUUUAGUGAGAUCUCUGGAUUGACGCUGGCUAGGGGGCGACCCUUGGCCAGGCUGUCGAGAAACUGCUCAAACUUGAUCAUUUAGAGGAAGGAGAAGUCGUAACA
rnacentral:rRNA from 1 species